rnacentral:rRNA from 1 species
UCCCUACGGGGGGCAGCAGUGAGGAAUAUUGGUCAAUGGGCGAGAGCCGGAACCAGCCAAGUCGCGUGAAGGAUGACGGCCCUAUGGGUUGUAAACUUCUUUUGUCAGGGAGCAAUUGAGUCCACGUGUGGGCUUAGCGAGAGUACCUGAAGAAAAAGCAUCGGCUAAUUCCGUGCCAGCAGCCGCGGUAAUACGGAGGAUGCGAGCGUUAUCCGGAUUUAUUGGGUUUAAAGGGUGCGUAGGCGGAAUAUCAAGUCAGCGGUAAAAAUUCGGAGCUCAACCCCGUCGCGCCGUUGAAACUGAUG